GAUUUCAGUUCGGUCCGCCGCCCGGGUUGCUCGCUCACUUUUCACCCGCUGUCGCUCUUCCUCCUCUUCCUCCUCCUCCGUGUAGCCUGAACAUGGCGCUGCUCUGCCGAAGGAAAACAAUCCCCGAACCCGCCGAUUAGUCGGGCGAGAGCGAGACUGUUCGGAUAGGGAGGGGGUAACAGUUGAAGGUUUCCGGUGAGCGGGUUCAAGCAGAGAAGAGUGCGGGGAAAUUUUUGUUGAAGCGGAAUAUUCCGAAUCCAUACCAAGUGUUCGGGGUAGGUUAUACUUUAAUAAUUAUCGAAUAUUCGGCGCGUUAACGAGAGAGGAGCAAUUUGUUCAUCCCACACUCCGCCCAUCCCCCGGGGAUUAACCCUCACAGACACUCCCCCACGCUUCCCCCCCCG